AAUACUUUCUUAUUGUCUAAUAAGCAUCAUGUAUUAUUCCUGAAGAAAGUAGCUAUGAAUUAUACAUUAGUCCCAGCAAGAUCACACCUAAAACAUGCCGAAUCCCCAGCUCAAGACUAUAGUAGUUACAGAAAAGAGCACAACAUACAUACUUUUAUCUUUUUUAUUAUAUAUAUACAUGACACGGGAUUCGCACGCAUGCCUUUACUAACAAAGCCCUAAAA
rnacentral:lncRNA from 1 species